UAAGUCUUAAGUUAUACAAACUAUAAGCCUUCCAAGCUUAAAAAAUAUAUUAGACUUGA
rnacentral:tRNA from 1 species